GGGUAGCCGGCCUGANAGGGCGACCGGCCACACUGGGACUGAGACACGGCCCAGACUCCUACGGGAGGCAGCAGUGGGGAAUAUUGCACAAUGGGCGCAAGCCUGAUGCAGCGACGCCGCGUGAGGGAUGACGGCCUUCGGGUUGUAAACCUCUUUCAGCAGGGAAGAAGCGCAAGUGACGGUACCUGCAGAAGAAGCGCCGGCUAACUACGUGCCAGCAGCCGCGGUAAUACGUAGGGCGCGAGCGUUGUCCGGAAUUAUUGGGCGUAAAGAGCUCGUAGGCGGCUUGUCGCGUCGGUUGUGAAAGCCCGGGGCUUAACCCCGGGUCUGCAGUCGAUACGGGCAGGCUAGAGUUCGGUAGGGGAGAUCGGAAUUCCUGGUGUAGCGGUGAAAUGCGCAGAUAUCAGGAGGAACACCGGUGGCGAAGGCGGAUCUCUGGGCCGAUACUGACGCUGAGGAGCGAAAGCGUGGGGAGCGAACAGGAUUAGAUACCCUGGUAGUCCACGCCGUAAACGGUGGGCACUAGGUGUGGGCAACAUUCCACGUUGUCCGUGCCGCAGCUAACGCAUUAAGUGCCCCGCCUGGGGGAGUACGGA
rnacentral:rRNA from 1 species